GGAGCUCAGGCUCCUCCUUCUACCUGACAUAUGUUCUUCUAACAGCACCAGAAGGAAGAGAAAGGGAAACUUAUGAGGAAAUGGAAGCCUCAUGGCUCUCCCUGACAUCUUCAGUCUUGUGCCUACCCCCUUGCAUUGAAAUAUUCGCUUG
rnacentral:lncRNA from 1 species